UACGUAGGGUGCGAGCGUUGUCCGGAAUUAUUGGGCGUAAAGAGCUUGUAGGCGGUUUGUCGCGUCUGCUGUGAAAUUUCGGGGCUCAACCCCGAACUUGCAGUGGGUACGGGCAGACUAGAGUGUGGUAGGGGAGACUGGAAUUCCUGGUGUAGCGGUGAAAUGCGCAGAUAUCAGGAGGAACACCGAUGGCGAAGGCAGGUCUCCUGGGCCACUACUGACGCUGAGAAGCGAAAGCAUGGGGAGCGAACAGG
rnacentral:rRNA from 1 species